ACUACGUCUACUUCCCCUGCUGCCUACUGCCUUUAUUCAUUCCUUUCUCCCAACAAUUGACUUCCUCCAACAUAACUUUCUUUUAAUCAAUCUAUUUAUCAUUUAAAGAUCUUCGUUGGUAAUCAACUCAACUAUCUUCAUUUCAAGCCACCACCUCUGGUACUCCACCAUCACACACUGUCAGAAAAGGUGGCUGACACAGAAAAUUAUCUGAAGCCACCGCCAACAUAGGAAAAAGGGUAUCGAUCAAACAAGGCAUCUGACAUGGCGUUGCAAAUAUGACCUCUGCAAAAGUAAUCAUCUUGCUUCCACUAUUGACAUGCCCGUGACUGCACUAAAGUUUCACCCUAUGUCUUUUCAGGUUUGGUUAUUGUUAGAACAUAGAUCACAUUCAACGUCGUCAACAAGAAAUGCAACUGGUUUUGCCAUAUUCAAAAAUUGGUUCCACCGAAUGCCCCAACUUAACAAAAGUUACUGUGAAAUCUCGUAUGUAAGACAAAGAUGGUGCCAAUUUAAAACUUGAAAAAUUGUUUUAGUUGGAUCUAUAUUCACAAUGGUGGGGGCAAGAAUAUAUAUUAGGUUGGAGAUCACGUUGAACUUUUAAGAUGAAGAAAAUUGGCUCCAAGGCACGUGUUUGCAAUUUCCUUAAGAUGACCAGUGAAGGAUAUGGGAAAGCAAAAUGCCUCCAAGAUAUAAAGGAAUCCAAAUACGUUGUUUGCGUCGUGCACUAAUGAAAACAACCCCAAAUACUAAGAAGAUAAGAACCCAAUAUAGAUUCAUGUCUGCAAUUCCGGACUUACAAAACACAAACAAAGCUUUAAAAAGGUGAAUUUGGAUGAAAAUGGCAAUCAAAAAUGGGUAUAAGCAUGAACAAAAGGCACCCAUUCUGAUCUGCACAGGGGGCGGCUGCCCAAGACAUGCAGAAUUACCUGCAUGCCGCCCUUUGG
rnacentral:lncRNA from 1 species